GCCUUUUCAGUUUGUCAGUUGGCCUAUAUAAACUCCACGGUGCAAAUAUUCUGACACACACACAAGAAGCAGUUGGUGAUUACAAAGCUCCAAAGAGAAAAACAUGCUUCCAUCGACUACCCGCAAGAACGUAGAUAAAAGGUGCCCCAAGCCAAUGUCCAUUUACAUGCCUGGUGGGCCAAGUGAAGCUCAAACCAAUGAUAUCUUCAGGCGUUUCGACACCAACGGCGAUGGGUACCUCAGCUUGGAAGAACUCAUUAAAGCGUACAACGUCCUAGGUAUGUCCUUCCCUUUAUGUCGAGCCUGGAGGGCACUCUACAUCGCUGAUGAAAAUCGAGAUGGAUACAUCAGCGAGAAAGAGUUUCACAGGCUAGUGAAAACCGUUAAUAAAUAAAACUUGAGGUCAUUCUGACAUCAAACUAGCUAGACUUUGUAUAGUAUGGUGGUAACUAGAGUUAACUCUCUGUAUUGCUGUGUGUCUUUUCUUUCGUAAUGGACAGAGCCACAAGAAAGUGUUCCUUGCGGCAUCUCUUUCAGUGCUAUAGAAAGCUGGAAUUUUCUAACUUGGAUAUAUUCAUUUCUAUCCUUAUAUAGUACUUCAAUGCUUCCUUUCUCUCUCUUUAUGUUUGCUUUAGUAUUAAUUUACAGGAAACUUAAUUAUUAGAUGCACUAAAUACACUGAAAAUAAUG
rnacentral:misc_RNA from 1 species